rnacentral:rRNA from 1 species
UACAGAGACUGCAAGCGUUAUUCGGAUUCACUGGGCGUAAAGGGUGCGCAGGCGGCCAAGUGUGUCAGAUGUGAAAUCCCGAGGCUUAACCUCGGAACUGCGCCUGAAACUACUUGGCUAGAGUACUGGAGAGGGUAACGGAAUUCACGGUGUAGCAGUGAAAUGCGUAGAUAUCGUGAGGAACAUCAGUGGCGAAGGCGGCCAUCUGGGACAACACUGACGCUGAAGCACGUAAGCGUGGGGAGCAAACAGG